rnacentral:SRP_RNA from 2 species
UGCCGGUCCCCUCGCAAUGAUUAGCCGUGAACCUGGUCAGGCCCGGAAGGGAGCAGCCACAGCGGUGACAUCGUGUGCCGGGGUGUGGCUGGUAGGG